AUUUUUGUGUUAUGUAAAAACUAAUUCAAUUAUUUCUUAAACUAAUAUAUCAUAUAUAAAAAGUAUGCUAGUGUUGUUUAAAAGAUGGGAAAAUAUGCUAGCGUUUCAUUAUUUAUUACAUCAUAUUUUUUGUACAACACUAAAUUUGAUUGAUAAAAAGAUAAACCGAAUUGAUCUAUAUGUAGCAUUAAACAGUAGAUCUCUUGAAAUAUGUAAUUUUUAAGAAUAAGAAACAGUAUCUGUAAAAUUAAAAUUUUAAAGGUGUCCACGUCAUCUCAUGCUGUGGGUCCCACUCAGAAAAAAAAAUGUUGUAAUGGGUCGCGUUACGUAUGGGUUGCGUUACGUAUGGGCUGCGUUUUAAUGAGUGUCGUGUGUAGAGAUGGGUUUUGUGGGUUGAAUUGAAGGAGUCGUAAUUUUUCCUCUCAUGUGUUUUCUAUGUAAAGCCCAUGUGGUGCCUGCAUUGCUUCAGACAGAUCAAGAAAAUUCAACUUUCUCCUUUGUCUUUUCAAUAAACGCCUUCUCCGUUCGUAAUCUUCCUCUCUAAAGGAAGCUCUACAGUUUCACUUCUUCACUUCAAAAAUAUCUCAAACAUAGAUGCACUCCAAAAUACAGAGAAACCUUUCGAUUUACCAAAUCAAUUACUCCCAUUCAGCCUCUACAGCUACCCAUCUUUACAAUGGUUCCCAUUCAUAACCCCACCCAAUAAUCUCAUUAUAUAGGAUAAAUUAUCACAAUAAAAAAACUUAUCGAUUUCUCUCAGAAGGUUACCUUAUACAAUAUCAUCGAUUAUGUCUCUCUUUGCUGCUCCGGUUGCUCAAGACGACGCCCGCCACUCAACAUUCGACUCAACAUUCGACUCAUCCUUUAACUAUUAAAAUUGUUUUGAUUCGAUUAUACGGAUCCUCAUUUUUCACGUUUUCUGCUUUUACUUUCAGAAUGCACUCAUCCAUGGCUUCGUCCCCGUUCGUCGUGCCAAUCACCAACCCUACAGCCAGGUCCCACGUUAUGAUCUGUCUCCUCAUUGAUCGUGGUGUGACGGCCUUCUUGAAUUUGACGGGAGAACGCUGCAUCUAUGUUUAGGUCUAUCUUGAAUCCCAGGGUAACAUACACUCUGCAAUGUUGGUCACCACAACCAAACCACAGCUGUUUGGAGUAGGUUCGUCUCAGCUCGACGGCAGCCACCAAUUAUUACUUCGAUACAAACACUACCCCCGUUGAAGAAUCCAUAAGAAGCUUGAGAAUUGCAGAAGAUUACCAUUUUACAUGUGUUCAGACAAGCGAGCCCAUUCAAAACACAAAUCUAGGAGAUGACAUUGAAGCUGGACACCUCCCACCUUCUUCUAGCGAUUAAACUAAUGAGGAGGAUGCAAAAAUAAAGACAACAUCUCCGUCAAUUGUUGUUGGAAGACACACAUCAGCUGCAACUCUAAUUUAUUGUUUCAUAACAAAGCUUUAUUACUAAUAUGCUAUAUUUUAAAUAAUGGGUUUUUUUAUGUUUUAAAAAUCUUUCUACGAGAAAAAUGAAAAUAUAUAUGAUUCCAAACA